rnacentral:pre_miRNA from 1 species
ACAAAAAUCAUUUGAGGAAUUAUUAGAAUGCAUAUUCUGAUUAGAAUGGUCUGGCAUGGGGUCUGAGAUUCUGAAUUUCUAUCAAGCUUCCAAAUGAUGCCUGU